UGAGGAAUAUUGGUCAAUGGGCGCAAGCCUGAACCAGCCAUGCCGCGUGCAGGAAGAAUGCCCUAUGGGUUGUAAACUGCUUUUAUUUGGGAAUAAACCCCUUUACGUGUAGAGGGCUGAAGGUACCAAAUGAAUAAGCACCGGCUAACUCCGUGCCAGCAGCCGCGGUAAUACGGAGGGUGCAAGCGUUAUCCGGAAUCAUUGGGUUUAAAGGGUCCGCAGGCGGAAAGGUAAGUCAGUGGUGAAAUCCUACAGCUUAACUGUAGAACUGCCUUUGAUACUUUCAUUCUUGAGUUCGGGAGAGAGAGACGGAAUUCCAGGUGUAGUGGUGAAAUACGUAGAUAUCUGGAAGAACACCAGUUGCGAAGGCGGUCUCUUGGUCCGAUACUGACGCUGAGGCGCGAAAGCGUGGGGAGCAAACA
rnacentral:rRNA from 1 species